GACGAACGCUGGCGGCGUGCUUAACACAUGCAAGUCGAACGGAAAGGCCCUGCUUUUGUGGGGUGCUCGAGUGGCGAACGGGUGAGUAACACGUGAGUAACCUGCCCUUGACUUUGGGAUAACUCCAGGAAACUGGGGCUAAUACCGGAUAGGAGCUCCUGCUGCAUGGUGGGGGUUGGAAAGUUUCGGCGGUUGGGGAUGGACUCGCGGCUUAUCAGCUUGUUGGUGGGGUAGUGGCUUACCAAGGCUUUGACGGGUAGCCGGCCUGAGAGGGUGACCGGCCACAUUGGGACUGAGAUACGGCCCAGACUCCUACGGGAGGCAGCAGUGGGGAAUAUUGCACAAUGGGCGGAAGCCUGAUACAGCAACGCCGCGUGCGGGAUGACGGCCUUCGGGUUGUAAACCGCUUUCGCCUGUGACGAAGCGUGAGUGACGGUAAUGGGUAAAGAAGCACCGGCUAACUACGUG
rnacentral:rRNA from 1 species